ensembl:misc_RNA Metazoa_SRP Metazoan signal recognition particle RNA
GCUGGGUGUGCCUGUAGGCCCAGCUACUCAGGAGGCUGAUGCGGGAAGAUCGCUUGAGCCCAGGCGUGCUGGGCUGGAAUGUGCUAUGCGGAUCCGGUGUCUGUACUAAGUUCAGUAUCAAUGUGGUGAAUUCCUGGGAAGCAGGGGUCACCCAGGCUAAGGAGGGGUGCACUGGCCCAGGUCGGAAGCAGAGCAGGUCAAAACUCCUGUGCUGAUCAAUAGUGGGAUUGUGCCUGUGAACAACCGCCAUAAACACUGUCCCCCAGCCUGAACAACAUAGUGAAAAUUU